UCCCCACCGGAGUGUGGUUGGAGAGUCCCUUGCAUGCAUAGACAAUAAAACCUCUUGAUUUUUCAUGAGAGCUGGCUCCUUGGGGUCUUCAUCGCAAUGGUGAUCUUACAUUUGGAGGCCCCAGUGAGAUCUGCCCCCCCCCCCUCGCUGAGGGCAGCCCCAACGGCCACAAAGUGUCUCUCAAGAAUAUAAUUUCAGUAAAAUGAUGGCCUGCUUCGUGACAUCCUGGGAGAAAAAAAAUAAGCAAUGUGCCAUCCAAAUGAAGCCGGCUCUCUGAUCCAGAGUGCCAAAACCAUGUUCUCCUUUUGUCCGACCCCGAUUGGACAUCCAGAGGCACCCUUAUGCCUGAUGAUGACCUGGAGGAAAAAAAGACACCUCUCCAUGAGUGUGCUGACAUCCUUAAACUGAGCAGAACCUACGGGCUGAUCUUACCAACCAGCUUUUGGGACAACUAUUUUAUCGAUGAAAGCAGCUUCAUCCCGAAUGGCAAAUGAAUGGCCCGGGCUGCAGUGACCACCAUAAAGGAGUCCUGACAGACUCUCCAACCCAUGUUGACUUCAACCCACCAGCUGUUUAUACUAGACAAAAACACCUGAAUCUGCCUUCAGAGACACCUCUCAAGGUGCCGAUCAAGCCAGGGACUCCAGUCUUGGGGCAAUGUCACCACUGUGACUCUCUCAAACCCCGCCGGGAAGGACCUUUCACCAUGGUGCUCAGUACCCCCACUGCCAUCAAGGUAGCAGAAAAAACUGCAUAGAUUCACUACACUCACGUAAAGCCACUGGAAACAGUGGACAACGAAGGACUUACUCAGUAGACUACAUAGCAGACUGGUAACCCCUUAAAGUUAAAAUUGACUAAGAUUAUGCUGGUCAUGAACUUUUCUAGCUUGCUUGCUUUGAUUUUUAUAACAUUGAUGCCGACCUUGCAUGGCGGCUUUGGUCCCCCUGUAAGCAAAGAACAAUUGUUAAGAUCUUUAUGUGGGAGCUCCUGUGAUUGUGGAGGGGGUUAUAUUACUAAAGGUAAAGACACCAACUGGGGGAAUUAUACAUACAAUAGGAAACAUGUAUCGAGAUCCUUCCAACACAAAUGAUAAACUGUAUACAUACAGUCUUUCGGACAGAUUGUGAGCGCAAGUUAACAUUCCUUGUAGCUAUACCCUCAGGUACAGGGGGUUUGACUAAAAGGUGGAUGUAAAUGAUAAAGCCCCUGUGUGAUACCUAACAAAGGCAGCCAGUGAGGGCCAUGCCAUCAGAAUUGUUCUUAGUAUUCAAAAAUGCAUUCCUACUGCUAUGACUCUGUACAAGAAUGUAUAGCAUAGAUAGCAAAACUUACUUCACUGCUGAGCUUAUGAGGACAAAGGCUAAAAGGGUUAAAGGUGAUUGGUCGACAUAUUUGACAGUGAUAGGAAGUUCUAUGUAUGCCCAAGCCUCAUGUCUUAACAUGGUUGAUAAUCAGUGAGCUGGGGCAUGGUGGCCCUAUACAUGUGUCUGAUAGGGGCAGGCCACACGAUAAGAUCCAAAAAAAAAAAAAAAAAAAAAAAAAAAAAAAAAACUCUGGUGGUUGAAGAACAAGUAAAGCUGCUAAUAAAAAUAAGCUGCAUAAAUCGUGGGGAGUUGGUCUGGACGCUCAAACUUAUGAUAUUCUAGAGGUCACUCAUAAAGCCUUAAAUGCUUCCAACCCAAAUUUGGCUGAAGAAUUGCUGGUUAUGCAUGGCACAGGGCUCCCCCAUACCCCUUGCCAUCCCCAACAGUGUUUCUCUGGCUACACUGGAGAAACAAGAUUACUUAAAUUUUAGUGCUGGUCCCCCCUUUAGAGUACAACCAGUAGACUUUAAGGACACUCUCUGUCUCCAAGGAGGUUUUCAUAAUGAUACCUCCAACUUUGAUGUGGAGUUCAUCACAUUUACUAAUUUUAGUUCCAUAGUUAACCGGACUACCUCCUUUAUCCUGCCAAAGGACAAGUAUUUAUUUGUGGAGGAAAUAUGGCCUAUAAUUUCCUCCCAACUAACUGGAUAGGGAUAUGUGUAACAGCUGUCCUGUUGCCUGAUAUAGAGAUCCUACCCGGGGAUGAGCCUGUCCCCAUUCCUAGUUUAGAUUACAUCACAGGCCACUCAAAGAGGGCAAUUCAAUUUAUUCCUUAUUGAUAGGCUUAGAGAUAUCAGGAGCCUUAGGUCUGGGGGCAACAGUAGUAGGGGUUUUUGUCCAACCUUCCAACCAGAUUGUUAGUGAUAUACAGAAAUUAUCUAGUACCAUACAGGUCAUUCAAGAACAUAUAGACUUGUCAGCUAAAGUAGUUGUCCAAAAUAAGAGGGGACUAGACCUACUCCUCCUAAAGGAGGGCAGCCUAUGUGCCACUCUAAAAGAAGAGUGCUGUUUUUAUGUUGACCAUUCAGGCAUAAUAAAAGACGCCAUGUCCAAACUCAGAGAAAAUAUCAAAACUAGAGAAAAAAAAAUACUCUUUGGGGACGUCCUUCUCUUCCCUAUGGCAAGGGCUAGUUCCUUAUGCUGUCCCCCUCCUAGGCCCUUUAGCUGCUUUGCUCUUAUUCCUUACCAUUGGCCCUUGCGUUUUAAACAAGAUUACACAUCUGGUGCUAUCCCAGGUCUCCCAGGUAAAGAUGAUGGUCUUGGGAUACCAAUAUGAUCCAAUACCUACUAAUAAUCUCUAGGAUUAGAGAUCCUCACAAGAAAAGGGGGAAACGAAGUGUUAAAACAUUCUGGAAACCCCUCUUGCCUUGUCACAUGGUCAGAACAACUAGAUAUUUUGGCCUGAUAGGGAAGUUGUGGUCCAACAUCCUCAAAAAUAAGAGCAUUGUGAAAUAUCAACCAUGCAAGACAGGAUAUGAGUUUUCAAAACACCAAUGCCAUCUGCUUCUGUAACCAAUGCUUGCUUUGUGGUUUUCGGCUUUAUAUACUCUGCACUCCCUUACCCGGGCACUCUCCCCUCUCCCAACUGGAGUGCGGUCAGAGAGUCCCUCGCAUGCGCAGAUAAUAAAACCGCUUGAUUUUUCAUGAGAGCUGGUUCCUUGGGGUCUUCUUCAUGAUGGUGAUCUUACAAAAUCAGCCAUGCUUACCCAUAUGGCUACUUCGUCUUUUUUUCCCUGAAUACAACUUCCUCAUUCCUUUCCCAGAGGCCCAAAGAAAAUUCCUAUCAGCUCCUUGCAUGACAUCAAUGUCAGUGCCAGGAACCACAUAGAGCAAAAUUUCACAUAUUCUCCAUAAUCCCAUAAUCAGUCAGAAAAAAAGGCAAACCCUUGGUGGCUGUAGGCUCCCCUCUACAUUCUUUAAAUGGAAAGGACACUUUUACUUUUUCUUAUAUUCUGCUUCUCUAUUGGGCCACAAAAUCCUAACUGAUAAGAUUAUAUAGUACAUCCAAAAGAUGAGAAGUAUAAAACAAAAGAGGCCUUUAUUCUGAGAAUGCGAAGAGAGAAAACAAAAACCCCCUAACCAUUGGAGUCAGGCUUUCUCUCUCAUGGACUCAUGGCAUGGGGGCAUAUAAGCAACCUAGGUUUGGGGUGGAACCUGAGGGGGCAUUAGGGAUGCACACGUAGUCCAUUGGUCUUUGUUUGGCACCAUAGGUAAAUUCCUAGGUGCAGGGAAGUUGGAGUCACAGGUAAUUUCCUAGGGGUGGGGGA